GAGCCCAGCCAAAGAGUUCCCAGGGCAGGAGCAGAGCAGGAGGAUCUGGGAAAAGCUCCUUCACAGAGUUCCCAGUAGGUGAGUGAGGGUCUGGGCUGGGGCUGGGCCAGGGCUGCCACGAGUAGAGCCCAGCAGACCUGCAGCUCUGGCAACGACCCCACACUUCACCUCCAGUUGCUGGGCGAGCCUGACCCCCCUCCUUGGACCUCAGAGCUGGUUUUGUGCUUUUCCUGGCUGACUGGAAAUCCCAGAAGUCCUAGAAGAGCUCCUGGAAGAUUUGUGUGUUUGCUCUCUACAACAAAGAGCAGGAGAAAGCUGCUAAAAGACCUUCCUACUGCACCUAUGGGUAACAGCAGCACCUGCCAGGUCCGUGCCCAAGCAGCCUGGCCAAGCUCUGCAGCCUCCGGAGGGGAAGAUAUUUUGGGAAUUCCCGAUUCCCAAAGGCUGCAGAGAGGGCAGGAGCUGCGGGGAGAGCAGGAAAAGCACUGGAGUGUCCCGGCAGGAGAGCAGCACCUGUGAGGUCGGGGAGAGGACCAGGACAGGAAGGGUUUGGAGAAGAGAGAAGGCUGAGCAGUGGCCAAGUUAACCCUUCCCAUGCUGGCAUUUUCCAGGCAGCGAGCCAAGUGACUGCUCAGAAGAUGGAUAUAACACAUGUCUGCAGUCUCCAAAGGGUUAUUAACUCUGCAAUAAUGGCCAUGAAACUUGGCUUCUUCGACAUACAUUUAAAAUUGGGGAAAAAAAAUCCCAACACCCCAACACCAGUUUCAGAGGGGGAGAGGGCUUGUUUCCUAGGAACUGCAGGGCCAAAUCCACCUCAGUGAUGGUGAGAGGAGAAAUCUCCCCCUCCCCACAGGCUGGGAGCAGGGGAGCAAUGCAACCUCCACAACACGACCACAGCUCCCUCCUGCCACACAUGCCUUAUCCUUAUCAGAAACAAUUUCAAGGCAUUUCUGAAAAGUCUGUGGUGUUCAAUUAAUGUGUCUCACUGGAACUUCGGGAUCUGGAUUCAAGAAAACCACCAGUGCUGCUCGCAAGACAGAUUCCUCUUUUGUUGUGUGGGUACUGCUGUGGGGCUUGUCCCCUCAGUCCUGGCUCCAGCCCUUGGCCUGCCUGGGAUGUUGUCCCUGUCAUGGGGUUUGCAGCCUCUUGGGCUCCUGUCCAAAUGCUCUGGAAGUCUGGGAUGCUCCACUGGGAUUAUCCCUACUCCAGUGUAGUCUGUGCCAGCCACUGAGCAAGUCCUUCUAUGCAGUAAGUUACAGACUUCUCUUUAUUGGUGCCUCUCUUCCCCCACACUAUUAAAUUUAUUCUUUCUCUGUAUUGUUAUUAUUUUUCUGGCAGAGGACUUUGGAAGGUGGGAGAAAGGAUCUACUAAAAAGUUUAAACAAAUCUAAGCCCCCUCGUCAAACCCUUUCGAGGCACCAGCUCCAGUCCCUUAGCAAAUGAAGUCAGCUGGUGGUCUGGGUUUAAACGUGGUUGAUGAGGGCUCAGGCCAGGUUUGGCAGCUCACAAAUCAAAUUGCCUCGUGGUUCUCAGGAGCAGAGGAUUGCCACAGGUGGAGGAGCUGUGGGGGAGCUCUGCCCCCACUCUGUGCCAGCCAGAGCCGUGGCCUUGGAGGGAGGCACUGAAAUCGUUGGUUCACAACAGGUCAGGAGAGAAAUUCAGGCUCUGAGGUUUUGUUUUCUGUGUUAUGUUACAGUACUGACACAGAGCAAGGCAGCCCCAAACUGAAAUUUUGUCUCACUUGAAUAGGUCUGGGCCAGUCCCUUUGCUUUGGGAAAUUCUUAUUAGAAGCAGAGUGAGCCCUGAUAGAGAGAGUGGGAAACACAGAGCUAUUAAAACUCACCUGAUCUCAUGUUAAUAAAGAGUUUGAGCCACAGGGCUCUUGGCUUACUCUGAUUUUGCCUGCUGGGAGCUGCUUGAAGGUCCUCAGUUUUGCUCUUAUUGCUGACCAUGGGUAACAUCCUCUAAGUGCCACCCCACUGGAGGUAGGAGGGACUUUGCUGAGGUCACAGCAGGAGGUGGUGGGACAUGCUCUUGUGUCCAUGAGGUGCUGCAGAGGCCCUGUGCAGGGCAGGGCUUUCUGAGGUGCUACACCAGCCCAUGGUGUGCCAUGGAGUCCCUUGAUGCCUGGGAAAAGCAGGUGAAAAGCUGGAGGCAGCUCCAAGGCUCUGACUCUCAAACAGCCUCUCUCCUUGUACAGGAGUAACUUGCUAAGAAAAUGUGGCUCUUGCUGCCUGUUCAAUGCCAGGAAGAAAGAGAAUGGUGUUAAUGUGCUGGUGUCUCUCACCAGUCCUUUUCCCAGCUCCAAACAGCCCUUUUCUCAGCACUCACCCAGUGCCUGCCCUCCCUGGGAGGAGCAUCCAAACCUAAUUCCCCUUGUUUGCAACUCAGAGCCAUUCCUGCUGUCAGUACAGGGACAAUUCUCGUGGAAAUGCUGCAGAGAGAUCUGCCAGAGUCAUUCACACUCUUUUAUGGCUCUUCCUUUGAAUUCUUCUACAAUUUCAGGAAAAGAGUUGCAGAUUUUUGCAGAAGUUUAAACUCUAGGACACUGCUCUGCUGGGCCACCACAAUUUAAAGCUGCUAACAGGUUGGACCUUGAUUGCUUUCCAUGACUCAACCAUGCCAGGAGCACAGGAUCCCAUCCAAAGCCCACCAAAGGCAGCGGAAACCUUUCUGCUCGUGGAAAUCACCUACUGCUUUCAACAGCCCCUGGCCAGGCUGAGUUCUCCCGGUCCCUGGACAGCUGAGGACACGCAGGAUGUGACCCAGCCAGGUGGGAAGGAACUCCAGUGGCUGCAGGACCUCAGUGGAAAUGGGAAUUGGUAGUAAAAAUGAAUUUGUAUAUUUCUUAAGCUUUAUGCACUUGUUUCUUAUUUUCAUCCAUGCAAUGAGUGAGUAUGUGGGAUCAUUU
rnacentral:lncRNA from 1 species